CGGAACGUAGCGCAGCCUGGUAGCGCAUCUGCUUUGGGAGCAGAGGGUCGCGAGUUCGAAUCCCGCCGUUCCGACCA
rnacentral:tRNA from 2 species